AGUGAACGCUGGCGGUAGGCCUAACACAUGCAAGUCGAACGGCAGCACAGUAAGAGCUUGCUCUUACGGGUGGCGAGUGGCGGACGGGUGAGGAAUACAUCGGAAUCUACUUUUUCGUGGGGGAUAACGUAGGGAAACUUACGCUAAUACCGCAUACGACCUACGGGUGAAAGCAGGGGAUCUUCGGACCUUGCGCGAUUGAAUGGGCCGAUGUCGGAUUAGCUAGUUGGCGGGGUAAAGGCCCACCAAGGCGACGAUCCGUAGCUGGUCUGAGAGGAUGAUCAGCCACACUGGAACUGAGACACGGUCCAGACUCCUACGGGAGGCAGCAGUGGGGAAUAUUGGACAAUGGGCGCAAGCCUGAUCCAGCCAUACCGCGUGGGUGAAGAAGGCCUUCGGGUUGUAAAGCCCUUUUGUUGGGAAAGAAAAGCAGUAGGUUAAUACCCCGCUGUUCUGACGGUACCCAAAGAAUAAGCACCGGCUAACUUCGUG
rnacentral:rRNA from 1 species